rnacentral:misc_RNA from 1 species
UGCAUUGAUUUUAUUGUUUGGUCUACAUACCAAAAGUCCAAAACUAAUGACAUUUCCAGGAUCAUAUACAGUGUCCUGUUUAACAAUCUUCUGUCUCUUAUCCCUACAAGCUCUUCCCUGACUACCACACCAAGGUUUUCUCGGAAAACUCGUGUUUAGUUGCAUCAUUGAGUUUGAAACCCUGAACGGACUGUCAAUGAUAAGCUGGAGGAAGGUGAGUAUGACUUCUGAGUCAUUCUUAUUGACUUAACACCAUCUACAUAAGGCCAUAGCUUGUGGAAAUGUAUACUGUUCUUCAAUCCCAGAAAAUGCUCAUUGAACAAGUGGUCAAUGCUGGGUGAGAGUUUUAGGCUAUCUUUUGCACUUCGUACUCGUGAGAUAUUUUAAGAGGUGAGUCCUUUGAGACAGGCCUUUCUUCAGACCAGAGCUCUAGAUUCACUGUUCCGGUACCCCAAUGCACCAUACAUUUGUGUACUUGAUCGAUGUUGAAUCGAUUGACUAAUCCCAGACCAAGACAUCUAUCAACAAGCAUCCAUUCACCCUUUGGGCGAAGAUCUCCUUCAAACACUUGUUCUCCAGAUUCUGGCCAAAGUUCAUGCUUGGACCCAUUGAGGGAAGUAAAGGACACGUAUGAUUCAGUUGGGUGCAACAACGUGAACAUUGGAUGCACACGCAAGCACACAAGCCUAGAAAAUCCUCCAGAACCAGCACCAACUCCACGAGCUACAAUUCCAGAAUCAAUGCGGAAAACCUUGGAGUUGUCUUUUGGCAAAGAUAUAUAUCGUUCCAUAAAUAAUCCACCACCUAUAUCACCUUCCAGCCUAAGAGACUCUGAUUCUCCUUCCUGUUCCAGAUCUCGUUCAAUAACUGAAUACUCCUCGGUACAUCCAGCUGAUCUGUAUUCACGGUUACUAUAUUCUUCAUACCCAUUUAUUUCCACCCGGCUGUGAAGCCAUUGAGUUCCUGAAGGAACAUGGUCCAUAGAAAGGAUUCUACCACCUAUCCAAGGGACCGCUUUCAGCUCCCAAUCACCACUCUUCAGAACAACUGGAGUCCUUGAAAGUUCUACUCCUUUAUGUCCAGAGAUAGUUUCCACGUCUGGUAUACGUUUAGCACCUUCCAGACGAUUUCUGUACUUCUCUUCACUUUCAGAAACCAAAUUUGAUACAUCAGUUUCUGAUGGCAUUGCUAAUUGUAUAAUCUCUCCAUCAGAACCCCAAGCAUCAAGCAUAGCACCUUUACCCAGCAAUAUUCUAACAUGCAAUCGGCGCUUUGGCCUUCUCCAAUUUCCUUCUGUUUUGGCGACUUGCACAGUAACAACAGAAGACUGAAGCUCAGCAACAUAUGUCGUCAAAAGAUAUCCACCUUGG